rfam:Aquimarina spongiae strain DSM 22623 genome assembly, contig: Ga0070582_105
AAGGCGGUAUCUGAAAAGCCUAUCUUAAUAGAGUAGGAA